rnacentral:rRNA from 1 species
AGAUAAUACUUGAGACGAUCCAGUUUGUAUUAGUACAAAAUGGCCAAUUCAUUCAAUGAAUUGAGAAAUGACAUUCUAAGUGAGUUAGGAUGCCACGACAAUUGUAGAUCACACAGUGUUUAACAAGUAACCAAUGAGAAUUUCUGAUCUAUCAAUCAGUUGGUAGUAUCGAGGACUACCAAGAUUAUAACGGAUAACGAGGAAUUGGGGUUCGACAUCGGAGAGGGAGCUUUACAGAUGGCUACCACUUCUAAGGAAGGCAGCAGGCGCGUAAAUUACCCACUUUCGAAUUGAAGAGGUAGUGACGACACAUAACUCUAGAGUUGAGUAAAAUCAAUUCUUGAAGGAAUGAGUAGGAGGUAAAUUCUCCUACGAAAUCAAUUGGAGGGCAAGUCUGGUGCCAGCAGCCGCGGUAAUUCCAGCUC